rnacentral:SRP_RNA from 1 species
GCCAGGCAUGGUGGCGCAUGCCUGUAAUCCCAGCUACUCGGGAGGCUGAGGCAGGAGAAUUGCUUGAACCCAGGAGGUGGAGGUUGCAGUGGAGAUUGCGCCACUGCACUCUAGCCUGGGCGACAGAGCAAGACCCCACCUCCA